rnacentral:rRNA from 1 species
GGCCACGGCCAUACCACAUUGAAAACACCGGUUUUCUCGUCUGAUCACCGAAGUUAAGCAACGCUGGGUUUGGUUAGUACUUGGAUGGGUGACGCCUGGGAAUACCAAAUGCUGUUGUCU